rnacentral:rRNA from 3 species
UACGAAGGGGGCUAGCGUUGUUCGGAAUUACUGGGCGUAAAGCGCACGUAGGCGGAUUGUUAAGUCAGAGGUGAAAUCCCGGAGCUCAACUUCGGAACUGCCUUUGAUACUGGCAAUCUCGAGUCCGGAAGAGGUUAGUGGAAUUCCCAGUGUAGAGGUGAAAUUCGUAGAUAUUGGGAAGAACACCAGUGGCGAAGGCGGCUAACUGGUCCGGUACUGACGCUGAGGUGCGAAAGCGUGGGGAGCAAACAGG